rnacentral:rRNA from 1 species
UGGGGAAUAUUGGACAAUGGGCGAAAGCCUGAUCCAGCAAUGCCGCGUGUGUGAAGAAGGUCUUAGGAUUGUAAAGCACUUUCGUCAGGGACGAUGAUGACGGUACCUGAAGAAGAAGCCCCGGCUAACUUCGUGCCAGCAGCCGCGGUAAUACGAAGGGGGCUAGCGUUGCUCGGAAUGACUGGGCGUAAAGGGCGCGUAGGCGGAUUGAUCAGUCAGACGUGAAAUUCCUGGGCUUAACCUGGGGGCUGCGUUUGAUACGGUCAGUCUAGAGUGAGGAAGAGGGUUGUGGAAUUCCCAGUGUAGAGGUGAAAUUCGUAGAUAUUGGGAAGAACACCGGUGGCGAAGGCGGCAACCUGGUCCUUGACUGACGCUGAGGCGCGAA